AUUGAACGCUGGCGGCAGGCCUAACACAUGCAAGUAGAACGAGUGGCGGACGGGUGAGUAAUGUCUGGGAAACUGCCUGAUGGAGGGGGAUAACUACUGGAAACGGUAUCUAAUACCGCAUACCAUCGGAUGUCCCCAGGUGGGAGUAUCUAGUAUGUGGGGUAACGGGUCACCAAGGAGACGAUCCCUAGCUGGUCUGAGAGGAUGACUAGCCACACUGGGACUGAGACACGGUCCAGACUCCUACGGGUGGCAGCAGUGGUGAAUAUUGCACAAUGGGCGCAAGCCUGAUGCAGCCAUGCCGCGUGUAUGAAGAAGGCCGUCGGGUUGUAAAGUACUUUCAGCGGGGAGGCGUUACCCGCAGAAGAAGCACCGGCUAACUCCGUGCCAGCAGCCGCGGUAAUAC
rnacentral:rRNA from 1 species